CCUACGGGCGGCAGCAGUGGGGGAUAUUGCACAAUGGGGGGAACCCUGAUGCAGCGACGCCGCGUGGGUGAAGAAGUAUUUCGGUACGUAAAGCUCUAUCAGCAGGGAAGAAAAUGACGGUACCUGACUAAGAAGCCCCGGCUAACUACGUGCCAGCAGCCGCGGUAAUACGUAGGGGGCAAGCGUUAUCCGGAUUUACUGGGUGUAAAGGGAGCGUAGACGGCAGCGCAAGUCUGGAGUGAAAUCCCAUGGCUUAACCAUGGAACUGCUUUGGAAACUGUGCAGCUAGAGUGCAGGAGAGGUAAGCGGAAUUCCUAGUGUAGCGGUGAAAUGCGUAGAUAUUAGGAGGAACACCAGUGGCGAAGGCGGCUUACUGGACUGUAACUGACGUUGAGGCUCGAAAGCGUGGGGAGCAAACAGGAUUAGAUACCCCUGUAGUC
rnacentral:rRNA from 1 species